rnacentral:rRNA from 1 species
CGCCCUUCAGAGGGGGACAACAGUUGGAAACGACUGCUAAUACCGCAUACGAUCUGACCUCGGCAUCGAGGAUAGAUGAAAGGUGGCCUCUAUUUAUAAGCUAUCACUGAAGGAGGGGAUUGCGUCUGAUUAGCUAGUUGGAGGGGUAACGGCCCACCAAGGCGAUGAUCAGUAGCCGGUCUGAGAGGAUGAACGGCCACAUUGGGACUGAGGCACGGCCCAG